GCCAUGGAUGUGCAAGGAAUUCUCUGAAGGAGCCGGAGAGAACUUCAUUGUGCUUAGCUAACUCCACAGUCCCAGGGAGAUGGGAGAUUUCCGGAUUUCGAUCGGAGGUGGUGAUCGAGGAUUGGAGAACCCUGCUUUAGAGCUCACGGAAUCAGAGGGAAAUCCAGGAGCAACAAAGAAUCAUCACCCCCUUGAUAUUUUGGGAGAAAACAACACACGUGAU